AUUGAACGCUGGCGGCAUGCCUUACACAUGCAAGUCGAACGGUAACAGGUUAAGCUGACGAGUGGCGAACGGGUGAGUAAUACAUCGGAACGUGCCCAGUAGUGGGGGAUAGCCCGGCGAAAGCCGGAUUAAUACCGCAUACGACCUACGGGUGAAAGGGGGGGAUCGCAAGACCUCUCGCUAUUGGAGCGGCCGAUGUCAGAUUAGGUAGUUGGUGGGGUAAAGGCCCACCAAGCCGACGAUCUGUAGCUGGUCUGAGAGGACGACCAGCCACACUGGGACUGAGACACGGCCCAGACUCCUACGGGAGGCAGCAGUGGGGAAUUUUGGACAAUGGGCGCAAGCCUGAUCCAGCCAUGCCGCGUGCGGGAAGAAGGCCUUCGGGUUGUAAACCGCUUUUGUCAGGGAAGAAAUCCCUUGGGCUAAUACCUCGGGGGGAUGACGGUACCUGAAGAAUAAGCACCGGCUAACUACGUGCCAGCCGCCGCGGUAAAAC
rnacentral:rRNA from 1 species